ensembl:lncRNA
GGUGUUUUACAGGGUGUUUUACAGGGUGUUUUACAGGGUGUUGGGUGUUUUACAGGGUGUUUUACAAGGUGUUUUACAGGAGGGCCCUGGUCCGCCUCAGUGGCAACGUUCAGCAUUUAUAAAGUUGUUAAAGUUUAUGUGGGAACACACUGGUACGCCACUUACUACAAAACCCUGUUAAAGCACCCAGAGCUCCUGUCCAACCCCAGGAAGAGCAGCUGGAUCGUAUUCGGUCAGAGUCUCCAGAUCAAGGCCGACGGAGCGAUGUUCAGACACAUCCUCAACUUCCUGAGAUGUGGACGCCUGUUGCUGCCCUCUGUGUUCAAGUACAGUAGGGAGCUGGGAAACUGGACACGGCAGUGAGACAAAAUGGCCGCUCUUUAUCGGUCAAUACUAACCAUUUUUGUGUCCAUGCCGUGCAGGGAAUGGCGGCUGCUAUGCCAUGAGGUAGAGGAGUUUCAGAUCCCGGCUCUGACUGGAGCCCUGGAGGACUGCUCUGACUACAGGGCCUGGUGUCAGAGCAACAAGCCUGCUGCCGGUAACCAGUCUUCCUCGUCAGCCGAGUCCCUACUCAUUUACAACCAGGAUCAAGAUGGCUUCACGGGGAUCGGUUACAACCCUGAGAGCAUGGAUGUAAGUCCAUCACAAACACAAGAUAGAGCCAGUCCUGAAGACUCCUUCAUCUCAGUGGGUGAGGACAUCUGUUCCUUGGUGGAACCAGAGAAUGACCUGAGACUGAGAAACUCUCUGCUUCAGAGACUAGAGGAGAACAGACAGGUCAAUAGAGAGGACAGAAUAGAGUCGAGCCAGCUCCCACCAGCUCCUCUACAGUCAACAGUAGAGUCUGGUGGUCAGACCAGUCACCUCUCAGUCCCCUCUGACAGACUGACUCAGAACAAUACCACGUCAUAUACCACCAGCAAGCUCUCAUCAUCCCCUUUGGUACAAAACAGAACAUUGGAUAGCAGAAAGCUAUCCUCUUCUCUCUGCAGUGUUACACACCAGCCUUACCACGCUAGUCAAUUCUCCCCAACAGGGCUGAGUAGUCCGGGACAGGAACCACUAGGUUCUAGACACUU